rnacentral:lncRNA from 1 species
UCCCAGCUGGGGUCAUUUGCAAACCAUCACAGUAAAAUUCAGAACAACGACGGAAGCAGAUUCAUCCACAGAUAACAUAACAUUAUGGCUGGAACAACAUUUCCUGAAUCUCUACGCCCUAACAUCUCUAGUACAGUAACAAAUAUACUGAUCCAUGUUCCAUAGGUACGACACGUUGGUUAACACAGACAUCACCGACAAACAAACACCUGAUGAUACUCUCCACUCCUUACACCCAGACAUGGGCCGGCACAGAAAACGCGAAACACUAAGCUCUUGAACACCUGAAGUGAACAUAUCGACCACUGCAUCGGCUAGACAGGGUGGCUGCUGGAAGGGAUCGCGGGUGAAUUGCCCGUGCCGAACGUAUGUGACUUGCACGCGAGCCUCACGGUCGUAUGGAUCUGUGAAGGCUCAGCCAUCGCGCCGUUCCCGUAGUCGCCGCAGGCCAGCCUCUUCGUGGUGGGUGGGACCAAGGAAAUCCCGAGUUGGUUGAUCGUCUCGAUGUGGCGCGCCGUGAACGGGUUGUUCCACAUGAAGGUGUUCAUGGCUGGAGCGGCGAAGAUCGGCUUCUUGUAGUCCCACGC